AACGAAAAUCGCUCACUUUCAGUGGUACCAAGUUAGUGAACCAGCCAGGUAAUUAACACGUACACACUAUGAGUAUGAUGUGCCAUGUAAACGUGUCAUUAUUUUGCAAAGAACGUGUUUUUCAAUAUCUGUCAACGAUUACAGAUUUCUGUUUAAACGGUAAUCGAUAGACGGCAUGUGUACAUGUGACGCAUGCACCUUUGUUUUUUACCAAUACUCUUACAAUGACCACACUCAGUUAUGCCAUAAAUUUCAAGGAAAGAAAAAAUCGAUGUACCGUUUUGGGCAAAAGCUGUAAUCAACACGUACACACGAUGAAUUCGUGAGAUCAUGAUGUGCCAUGUAAACACUGGUUAAAUCUAAUCGAUCGUAAAAUUAUCGGUUCCAACAAAAAAUUGAAUUGCAUUUUUAAAACAUACAAAAGGGCGGCAUUAGGUCUGUAAAUAAGGUACAAAAUAGUGACUGAGGUCAAUAUUAAUGACCGUGUGGGUAUCAUGCGUGCGUUCAAAAAUGAUUUGGGAGUUUUAUGGUAAUGGCGAAUCACAAAGUGUGACGGCAUUGAAUACGUCUAAGUCUUUGUGGGCUUUCAGUGAUUUAUAUGGGCGCUGUGUUUAAGUUUCCCACAGAUGGAGUGACCAGCAGUGGCUGUGUUGGAGUUUGUGGUGUGGGCUUUCAAGAGGAAUGCCUUAACAUUUCCAGCAAAUUUCGCAAAACAUUGAUGUUGAUAUUAUCGUCACCAGCUCAUUACUCCAAAUGGGGGCGUGUUUGCCGAUACCGCUUUAUGAUUGGCCACUACUUUAAUGGUCAAGAGUAAGAGUAGCUGCCACACGGGUACCUUCCUCUCUAUGGGGUGUCAUUGAUUUUUAUGGCAUGAUCAUUAAGGCUGUAACAACAAAUUUAUUGUUGCUGCUGUUU